CUAGCACCGUGCCCGGCAGCGCCAUGGGCUCCGUCUCCGAGCUCACCUGCAUCUACUCGGCACUCAUUCUGCACGACGAUGAGGUGACCGUCACGGAGGAUAAGAUCAAUGCCCUUAUAAAAGCAGCUAGUGUAAAUGUCGAACCUUUCUGGCCUGGCUUGUUUGCAAAGGCCCUGGCCAAUGUCAACAUCGGGAGCCUCAUCUGCAAUGUAGGGGCUGGUGGACCUGCUCCAGCAGCUGGUGCUGCACCAGCAGGAGGUCCUGCCCCCUCCACUGCUGCUGCCCCAGCUGAGGAGAAGAAAACGGAAGCAAAGAAAGAAGAAUCUGAGGAGUCUGAUGAUGACAUGGGCUUUGGUCUUUUUGAGUGAAUCUCUUUUGUAAUAUGUUCAAUAAAAAGUUUGAACU